AUUUAAGUAAUUUAAUAAAAAUUUUGAUUUGUGGUAUCAAAAAUGUAACAAUAAUUACCUUAAAUU
rnacentral:tRNA from 1 species